rnacentral:rRNA from 1 species
CCUACGGGUGGCAGCAGUGAGGAAUAUUGGUCAAUGGACGAAAGUCUGAACCAGCCAUGCCGCGUGCAGGAAGACGGCCCUAUGAGUUGUAAACUGCUUUUGUACGGGGGUAAAACGAGGCACGUGUACCUGUUUGAAAGUACCGUAUGAAUAAGGAUCGGCUAACUCCGUGCCAGCAGCCGCGGUAAUACGGAGGAUCCAAGCGUUAUCCGGAUUUAUUGGGUUUAAAGGGGGCGUAGGCGGGUGGGUAAGUCAGGGGUGAAAGGUCGAGGCUCAACAUGAGAAUUGCAAAUGAUACUGGUAGACUAGAGUAAAGUUGCGGUAGGCGGAAUGCGUGGUGUAGCAGUGAAAUGCUUAGAGAUCACGAAGAACACCGAUUGCGAAGGCAGCUUACUAAGCUGUUACUGACGUUGAGGCACGAAGGCGUGGGGAGCAAACGGGAUUAGAUACCCUAGUAGUC